rnacentral:lncRNA from 1 species
GUGAAUCAUAAUUGGUCUGGAAAAGAUGUUCCUCACUGAUAAAAAGAGAAGCAUGAGAGGAAACUCUUCUUUAAUCCACCUCUGCAUGUGAUCAUCUGCAUUUGACUCCUUGAACUAUGGCAGCCAGCUGGAGCCAUGAAGUAAGCCACCCUAACAUGAGUGGCAGAAACAUGGAGAGAAUUUUAAAGCUGGACAAGACCCUCAGAAAGCAGAUAAUCAAAGUACCUCAAUCAAUUGAAGUCCUGGGACAUUAAGCAAUUUAUCCAAGGUCACAAAGCAAGUUACAAUGGAGCCACCAUUUACCUCUUGAAGGAGGAAACAGACCAUCAAUUCUGAAGAAUAGACUUUUGUCUCCAGAUUUAAUGGUUUUCCCUUUCUGCUGUUAGUAUAGAGAUCUUCAGUGUCUAAUGAGUAAGACAGUCUAAAAUUUUUCAUUUUUCAAAGAACAAAAACUCCUGACAUCUGCUUUCUUCCCUUCCCUAGCAUUAAAGAAAAAAAGAAAAAAACAAAAACAACUUGUCGUUGUGAUUGGAAUAAUGGUUUUGCUUUCGAUGAGGCACUAAUGACCCUAUGUCUGUUCUUCAUUAUCAUUUGAGAGUUACAGAAAUCUCACGGAAGCUAG